rnacentral:lncRNA from 11 species
GGUUAAAGUGGUGUCAAAGCUGCAUUAGUUCUACAAUGUGGAUGUAGAUGUGGAUGCAUCCUUGGUGUGUACACAUAGAGACCCCUCCCAAUCCAAACCAGGGUUGGACUCAAGAGACAGGGCAAAGGGCCAGUCUAGGAAAGUGGCAUCUCCUUCUGUUUCCAGCCAGGCAGCCCUUUACCCUCUCCGGCUCCAAAGGGACCUUGUCACGCGUGUUCCUCGGAACCCACGCGUUCAGCGAGAGGGGGGCAAGGGAGAGGAGCAGCAGCAGCAGCAGCAGAGCCUGCGAGGGAGAGAGCUCAAGAUGUUUAAGAGGCCUCAAAAAAGACAAAUGAAAGAACAAAAUCAAGAAAAGCAAUAACAACCCAACGAAACAAUCAGAAGCAGAGUGGCAAAAAACCUUGGAAAAUCCCUGGAAGUAGCCAGCCAGCAACAGAGGGGAAACACCACCAUCUUUAC